rnacentral:rRNA from 1 species
UACGUAGGGGCCGAGCGUUAUCCGGAAUGAUUGGGCGUAAAGCGUCCGCAGGUGGCAGUUCAAGUCUGCUGUCAAAGACCGGGGCUUAACUUCGGAAAGGCAGUGGAAACUGAACAGCUAGAGUAUGGUAGGGGCAGAGGGAAUUCCUGGUGUAGCGGUGAAAUGCGUAGAGAUCAGGAAGAACAUCGGUGGCGAAGGCGCUCUGCUGGACCAUAACUGACACUCAGGGACGAAAGCUAGGGGAGCGAAUGGG